GAGGCAGCAGUAGGGAAUCUUCGGCAAUGGGCGAAAGCCUGACCGAGCAACGCCGCGUGAAUGAUGAAGGCCUUCGGGUUGUAAAAUUCUGUUAUAAGGGAAGAACGACUUUAGUAGGAAAUGGCUAGAGUGUGACGGUACCUUAUGAGAAAGCCACGGCUAACUACGUGCCAGCAGCCGCGGUAAUACGUAGGUGGCGAGCGUUAUCCGGAAUUAUUGGGCGUAAAGAGCGCGCAGGUGGUUGAUUAAGUCUGAUGUGAAAGCCCACGGCUUAACCGUGGAGGGUCAUUGGAAACUGGUCGACUUGAGUGCAGAAGAGGGAAGUGGAAUUCCAUGUGUAGCGGUGAAAUGCGUAGAGAUAUGGAGGAACACCAGUGGCGAAGGCGGCUUCCUGGUCUGUAACUGACACUGAGGCGCGAAAGCGUGGGGAGCAAACAGGAUUAGAUACCCUGGUAGUCCACGCCGUAAACGAUAAGUGCUAAGUGUUGGGGGUCGAACCUCAGUGCUGAAGUUAACGCAUUAAGCACUCCGCCUGGGGAGUACGGUCGCAAGACUGAAACUCAAAGGAAUUGACGGA
rnacentral:rRNA from 1 species